AUCUAUGGCCACGUCACCCUGAACACGCUGGGUCCUGUCUGAUCUCGGAAGCUAAGCAGAGUCGGGCCUGGUUAGUGCUUGGAUGGGAGACCACCUAGAAAGACUGAGUGCUGUAGGCA
rnacentral:rRNA from 1 species